GUGGGGAAUAUUGCACAAUGGGCGCAAGCCUGAUGCAGCCAUGCCGCGUGUAUGAAGAAGGCCUUCGGGUUGUAAAGUACUUUCAGCGAGGAGGAAGGCAUUAAGGUUAAUAACCUUGGUGAUUGACGUUACUCGCAGAAGAAGCACCGGCUAACUCCGUGCCAGCAGCCGCGGUAAUACGGAGGGUGCAAGCGUUAAUCGGAAUUACUGGGCGUAAAGCGCACGCAGGCGGUCUGUUAAGUCAGAUGUGAAAUCCCCGGGCUCAACCUGGGAACUGCAUUUGAAACUGGCAGGCUUGAGUCUUGUAGAGGGGGGUAGAAUUCCAGGUGUAGCGGUGAAAUGCGUAGAGAUCUGGAGGAAUACCGGUGGCGAAGGCGGCCCCCUGGACAAAGACUGACGCUCAGGUGCGAAAGCGUGGGGAGCAAACAGGAUUAGAUACCCUUGUAGUCC
rnacentral:rRNA from 1 species